rnacentral:rRNA from 1 species
UAGUCUACGCCGUAAACGAUGGAUACUAGUUGUUUGGCCUUCGGGCUGAGUGACUAAGCGAAAGUGAUAAGUAUCCCACCUGGGGAGUACGUUCGCAAGAAUGAAACUCAAAGGAAUUGACAGGGGCCCGCACAAGCGGUGGAGCAUGUGGUUUAAUUCGAUGAUACGCGAGGAACCUUACCAGGGCUUAAAUGUAGUCUGACAGCUUUAGAGAUAGAGUUUUCUUCGGACAGAUUACAAGGUGCUGCAUGGUUGUCGUCAGCUCGUGCCGUGAGGUGUCAGGUUAAGUCCUAUAACGAGCGCAACCCCUGUUGUUAGUUGCCAGCGAUUCAAGUCGGGAACUCUAGCAAGACUGCCAGUGCAAACUGUGAGGAAGGUGGGGAUGACGUCAAAUCAUCACGGCCCUUACGUCCUGGGCUACACACGUGCUACAAUGGUAGGGACAGAGAGCAGCCACUGGGUNACCAGGAGCGAAUCUAUAAACCCUAUCUCAGUUCGAUC